rnacentral:rRNA from 1 species
GACGAACGCUGGCGGCGUGCUUAACACAUGCAAGUCGAACGGAAAGGCCCCUUUGGGGGUACUCGAGUGGCGAACGGGUGAGUAACACGUGAGUAACCUGCCCUUGACUUCGGGAUAACUUCAGGAAACUGGGGCUAAUACCGGAUAGGAAUCCUUGCUGCAUGGUGGGGGUUGGAAAGCUUCGGCGGUUUUGGAUGGACUCGCGGCUUAUCAGCUUGUUGGUGGGGUAGUGGCUUACCAAGGCUUUGACGGGUAGCCGGCCUGAGAGGGCGACCGGCCACAUUGGGGCUGAGAUACGGCCCAGACUCCUACGGGAGGCAGCAGUGGGGAAUAUUGCACAAUGGGCGGAAGCCUGAUGCAGCAACGCCGCGUGCGGGAGGACGGCCUUCGGGUUGUAAACCGCUUUCAGCAGGGGCGAAGCUUGUGGUGACGGUACCUGCAGAAGAAGCACCGGCUAACUACGUG